rnacentral:rRNA from 1 species
AACGACUCUCGGCAACGGAUAUCUCGGCUCACGCAUCGAUGAAGAACGUAGCAAAAUGCGAUACUUGGUGUGAAUUGCAGAAUCCCGUGAACCAUCGAGUUUUUGAACGCAAGUUGCGCCCAAAGCCAUCCGGCUAAGGGCACGCCUGCCUGGGCGUCACGCAUCGC